AAAGUGAUCACUCUCCUUACAAUCCAUCCUCAUCGUCAAAGAAAACCGGCCCAACACUUUCAAAAGAUGAGCCUGGGUGCUUAAAUUCAUAACUUUGCUAGACACUAAAAAUCAUGGACUGAACUGACACUGGAUUUGUGGCUUAUUAUAACAUUCUAUAACCC